UCCAUAUACGUUUUGGCUUAUUUGAAAUUGUUUCGAUUGAUUUUUCAAAAUUCCGAAGUAAUAUUUAAAAUUAACACAAUGCAUCCAUUGUUAUACUUCUUGAUGUUCAUACUGGGACUUGUUUUGUUAUUCGACUUGGUUGUAUUGUAUAUCGAAAAUAUAUGGGCACCAAAACAAACUAUAAAGAUAUACAUUAAGGUCUCACCAAAUGUAGCUGUCCAUAAAUAUAUAAGAAACAAAAUCGUUAAGAAGGUACGGAAAAGACAACAGAAUAGGAAAAAUAAAUCCAAAAAACCGAAACGUGUAACAUUUUAUGAAGACGAAGAACAGAAGAUAGAUAUCGCACAAGAGCCUGAGGAAAUAAUAGAACUUAGCGAUACGCAUGAGGAAGAACAGUCGGCGGCAGUUGGACCUGAUAAGAAAAAUAUGAAAUUCGUUUCUGUAAAAAGGAAUACUGGCAUUGGCAAUAAACUAAAAAGUUGGUACAAGAAAUUUGGUAGAAAAGGAGGUCGACAAAGAUUAAAUGUGCCAGCCAUAAAAUACAAAUAAAAUUUUUUUGAAGGUCACAAAAAACAAAAAAUUUGGCGAUACAAGUUAACAAGCAAUAGUUGACAAAAGAGAGUGAAAAUAUCUUACACAGAAAAUGUGGAUGUUUCCCUCAUUUAGUGAAAGCUAUAGAACAUUGAACACAUAAAUCCUCUAUAGUAACAGCUGUAUUUCAUAUAUCAUUGGAAAGUAGCAGAGAUUGGGCACAUAAAUCCUCCAUGAUAACAGCUGUAUUUCACAUAUCCUUAGAAAGUUGCAGAGAUUGGGCACAUAAAUCUUCCAUGGUAGCAGCUGUAUUUCAUAUAUCAUUGGAAAGUUGUAGAUAUUGGGCACAUAAAUCCUCCAUGAUAGCAGCUGUAUUUCACAUAUCCUUAGAAAGUUGCAGAGAUUGGGCACAUAAAUCUUCCAUGGUAGCAGCUGUAUUUCGUAUAUCAUUGGAAAGUUGUAGAUAUUGGGCACAUAAAUCCUCCACGAUAACAGCUGUAUUUCACAUAUCCUUAGAAAGUUGCAGAAAUUGGGCACAUAAAUCCUAGAGAUUGGGCACAUAAAUUCUCCAUGAUAGCAGCUCUAUUACACAAAACUUUGGAAAGUAGCUGUUUCAUUGGUCUCAUUACUAUGUACACAAAAAACGCCUGCUAGAAAGUAAACUACAAAUUUACAAUUAAAUUCUAUAAGCAAUUCCAUAAGGUGUAGUCGGGAUUUAAUUUUAAAUUUUGUCGUUUUGGUAAUACGGUUAUCUAUCCUUGAAACAAUCUGAAAGUUACUGACGAUUUUGAAGACAAGUCUCUACAUUAACUGACAACCGAAUAGAUGCACUAUUAAUUGAUAAUGUUAUAACUAGACUUGAUAGUAUUAUCUCUGUCGUAAAAAAAGUGUGAAUGGUGUAUGUCAUUUCAGCAUCUAUGUAAACGAUUGGCUGCAAAAUAUAGACAAGUGACCGGUUCUGGAACCCAGAUAACCCACAUUAAUAUUACUACUGUAGCACUCGUAUAUAUCUAUUAGUUAUCAUACGUAUGAUGUCAGACAGGUAUAUAUAUUUGCUACACUAAUAAUCCACAUUAAUAUUACUACUGUAGCACUCGUGUAUAUCUCUUAGUUAUCAUGCGUAUGAUGUCAGACAGGUAUAUAUCUUUGCUACAGUUUGUGAAGUGAGAAACAAGGAGAAAUAUUUGAAUAGGCUGUAAAAUAGAUCUUGUGCAUUGCAGUUCAAAUAAUUGUUGACGGAUGAAAUAAGUAUAUAUGUAGUAAAGCUGUAGAUUGAAUGGUUUGUAGAAAAGAAAUCAAUUAGAGGCACUAAAACUGUUGGUGGUUUGGUUUGGAAUUGAUUGUCGAAUGUAAUCUAAUCAUAGGCAGUUAAACAAUAUAUGGUACAGCUGGACUUGAACGCGCAUUUAUCGAAACUAUUAUCUACACAACAACCUAAAUCGAAAGAGCUGAAACUAUAGGUAGUCUCGUAUGAAAUUUGUUGAAUUUCCCUUACAACUUGUGAUUGGAGGAUCAAAUUGAAACGGAAGUGCUAAAAAUGGACUUGGUAUGGAAUACAUUUUCUGUUGCAUACUCAUUUUCCUACUAUGAUUUAUGAAAUGAAUCCAGAACGAAAAAUAGUAUGGAAUGGAUUUCGUUUUCGCUAUGAUUUUAAGAACAAAUUUAAACCAAAGUAUGCAUCUCACUGGAAGUAGUAACAACAUUGUUAGUAUGUAGUUUGCUGCAGACAUUUGGUAUUUUUUUUUUCAUGAUUGGCGGCAUAUAUCCAAUUAAAUGCAGAAAAGUGCAGUUUUGGUACCGUUACAAAUGUUAACCGAAGAUCCAUUGUAAUUAAUGGUUUUAAUUAAAGAUAGUAAAAUAGCUGAUAAUAAAUGCUUUUGCUAUAGAAUUGACACAUCGACUAAUGAAAUCGACUAUAUAAUAAGCUGUGCGAAGUUCGGCAUAAUAUACUAUAAAAAAUUUAACUAUACUAAAAUAUUACAAACCUAUUUUAUAGCUUAUGCAGUACAUUUAGUUCAUAAAAUACAACAAUAGUAACAAAUAAAAAUCCAUAGA